AGUGAGCAAAAAUGAAUACUAAUUCUAGCUGCUCCUGAGUCCAGAGAGCGGCACACUCCAUCUCAGUGAAGUAGCUCUUUCUGAGAUUCCUCAUCCGUGGGGCUUUUCAGUUAAUCAAGAGAGUAUGUCCAGGCUAGUCUACUUAGGCAAGGUCGAGGCAAGAGGAAGCUAAAUGGCUCUGCCUGAAAAGAGAAGACAGGAAUUUUUAAAGUGGGCAAAACAAGAAUGAUAAUAGGCAUGUCUCAAGGUUGCUGUGUGGACCAGCUAAAGCCCUAUGUAAGAAAGCACUUCACAUACAGAAGAGGAUUGAUGCAUUUGGGAGACCCAGAAAUGUGGAUUCCAUCUUUCUAUGAGCCCAAGGAUGAAGGAGAACAAAAGAUCAAUAGCAGAAAAACGCAGCUGGACCGCAGAUGGUGCAGCCUGACCUCUGCUCUGCCUCUCCCUUUGUCUUUAAUUUUCAGAAUUAAAAUGAUUUAUCUUGGUGUGGA